ACGAACGCUGGCGGCGUGCCUAACACAUGCAAGUCGAGCGGAGACAGUGAGUAGCUUGCUACGAACUGUUUUAGCGGCGGACGGGUGAGUAACGCGUGAGCAACCUUUCCCAGACAGGGGAAUAACACACCGAAAGGUGUACUAAUACCGCAUAAGACCACGGGAUCACAUGGUUCUGAGGUAAAAGAUUUAUCGGUUUGGGGUGGGCUCGCGUCCGAUUAGGUAGUUGGUGAGGUAACGGCCCACCAAGCCGACGAUCGGUAGCCGACCUGAGAGGGUGAUCGGCCACAUUGGGACUGAGACACGGCCCAAACUCCUACGGGAGGCAGCAGUGGGGAAUAUUGGGCAAUGGAGGAAACUCUGACCCAGCAACGCCGCGUGGAGGAAGAAGGUUUUCGGAUCGUAAACUCCUGUCCUUGGAGACGAGUAGAAGACGGUAUCCAAGGAGGAAGCCCCGGCUAACUACGUGCCAGCAGCCGCGGUAAUACGUAGGGGGCAAGCGUUGUCCGGAAUAAUUGGGCGUAAAGGGCGCGUAGGCGGCUCGGUAAGUCUGGAGUGAAAGUCCUGCUUUUAAGGUGGGAAUUGCUUUGGAUACUGUCGGGCUUGAGUGCAGGAGAGGUUAGUGGAAUUCCCAGUGUAGCGGUGAAAUGCGUAGAGAUUGGGAGGAACACCAGUGGCGAAGGCGACUAACUGGACUGUAACUGACGCUGAGGCGCGAAAGUGUGGGGAGCAAACAGGAUUAGAUACCCUGGUAGUCCACACUGUAAACGAUGAAUGCUAGGUGUAGGGGGUAUCGACCCCUUCUGUGCCGCAGUCAACACAAUAAGCAUUCCGCCUGGGGAGUACGGCCGCAAGGUUGAAACUCAAAGGAAUUGACGGGGGCCCGCACAAGCAGCGGAGCAUGUGGUUUAAUUCGACGCAACGCGAAGAACCUUACCAGGUCUUGACAUCCACUUAAACUUACAGAGAUGUAAGGUGUGCUUGCACAAAGUGAGACAGGUGGUGCAUGGUUGUCGUCAGCUCGUGUCGUGAGAUGUUGGGUUAAGUCCCGCAACGAGCGCAACCCUUAUCUUUAGUAGCCAGCGGUCAGGCCGGGCACUCUAGAGAGACUGCCAGGGAUAACCUGGAGGAAGGUGGGGAUGACGUCAAAUCAUCAUGCCCUUUAUGUCUUGGGCUACACACGUACUACAAUGGCUGUAACAGAGGGAAGCAACAUAGAGAUGUGAAGCAAAUCCCAAAAAGCAGUCUCAGUUCGGAUUGAAGGCUGAAAUUCGCCUUCAUGAAGCCGGAAUUGCUAGUAAUGGCAGGUCAGCAUACUGCCGUGAAUACGUUCCCGGGCCUUGUACACACCGCCCGUCACACCACGAAAGUUGGUAACACCCGAAGCCGGUGAGGUAACCUAUUAGGAGCCAGCCGUCUAAGGUGGGGCCGAUGAUUGGGGUG
rnacentral:rRNA from 1 species